CAUUGACGCCGCUCUCUCGUUGCUGUCAGAAUCUAGAAGGUGCAGUCUCUCUCUCUCUCUCUCUCGCCCGCUCUCCUACGCCUUCAUCUUCAUCUUCAUCUUCAUCCCCAUUCUCUCUGUGUACCCAAAAAUCCCUUGCUGGCUUCUCUGUGAACGCGGAAACUAAGAUCGUUGACGCCGCUCCCUCAUUGCCGUCGGAAUCUGGUGAAUUGGUGACUUCUCCUGCUGGAGGCAGUUUUGAGCCCCAUAUAAUCACGGUUAACAGAGGUGAGAAUGGAUUCUCAAAUCAAGCAUGCCCUUGUGGUGAAAGUUAUGGGUCGCACAGGAUCAAGGGGUCAGAUGACCUAAGUUAGAGUCAGAGAGAGAAGCAAGAAGGUUGCGCUGAUGUCUUGUUUGCUAUGAAGAUUGUACUGAUUUUGUACUGAAGCAAGAAGGUUGUAUUGAUUUUGUUAGAAUGUGACUUAGAGUAGUUAUUUGAGUUUGACUUGUGGGUUCUGUAUUUGUUUUAACAUUCUUUGAAUUAAUAUUUCAUGAAAUUUUGUGAGGAUUAUGGCGAAAUGUAAGUAAUGAAAUGCUUUACUUACAUUACAUGAUUC